rnacentral:misc_RNA from 1 species
UCCCCGUUGCCGGGGCAGUCUAUUUAGAAAAAUCCAACUAAAUACAAGGGUUGCGCUCGUUGAUGGACUUAACCAAACAUCUCACGACACGAGCUGACGACGGCCAUGCAACACCUGUCACCAAGUUCCCGGAGGCACAGUUUCCUUUCGGAAGCCUUCUUGGGAUGUCAAACCCUGGUAAGGUUCUUCGCUUACCUUCGAAUUAAAGAACACGCUCCACCGCUUGUGCGGGUCCCCGUCAAUUCCUUUAUGUUUUAGUCUUGCGACCGUACUCCACAGGCGGGAUACUUAACGCGUUAGCUUCGCUACUGAAGGGGUCGAUACCUCCAACAGCUAGUAUCCAUCGUUUACGGCGUGGACUAC